UAUUUUUUUUUUAAGGAGAUCAAUCAUUUUUGACCAGGUCAUCUUAAUGCGUCUGUGCGCAUUAUCUGAUGCUAUGACCUUUUCUCAGACUGAACAUUUUUUUGGAGUUACGUACUUUUACAUAAUACCGGGAAACUUAUUAAUUGAAACUUUGUUUAACAUGCUAAUUCAUGAUAAUUACGGAGUAAAUAGACUUGUUUAUCAGCACUCGACAUGGAAAACUAACUGCAGCAGCUUGGAGUCAGCAGCUGAAAGUCGAAAGUUGAAGGUUGAAAUUUCAAAAGCAACUUUUGAUGUCUUCUAACAUCUUUAGUUGAAUAAUGCAAUGACCCAUGGAUCAGACAAAUAUGGUUUGUCUCAACUGCCAUCAGCCAGGAACGAAUCUUUUGCGAUGCUGCUUACUUGCACAUCUAUAAACAAUUAACAGUAUGCAAGAAUACUUAUUAUUUUAAAUAUAAAAAACAAACAGAUAUUUAGCUAAAUGGAUACUUACUUUUUACCAGAUAUUUAUUCAUUUUAUUUGUAGUAUGGCUUUCUCAAUUGCUGCUUUUAUCAAAUCAAAACACAUUCUGUUGAUUGAUUCAUCCUUUGAUUCCAGAAGAGCUGCAUAUAAUAUUUUUAUGAAAUUUUGUUUCUCAAGCCUGAGAUCAUUAAGAUCAGUUCUUGCUCGUACAUAUGUUAAUUUUGCAACCUCUUUUGGAACUGAAGCAAUCCAUUUAAAUGGCAACUUUCUACUGAACGGCCCAUCUGCCAAAUUUGAUGUUAUGACGUUAUUUGCAGAAUUGCUGUUUGUAACCACUGUUCCUGACAUCAUUCGUAUAUGGCAAAAUUUAGUAAAAAAAUUCAAACAACUAUUGUCAGAAGACAAUUCUGGCUCAGGAGUUGGUACAAACAACUUCAUCUAUUUUGAAAAUUUAGCUUUUCUAAGAUCUACUUUCGAAAAUAGAUGAACACUAUCAUUUAUCAGUCUUUUGUCUAAAACUACUGGAGACAAUGGUGCCUCAUCAGAAUAUGAGCCUACUCUUCAAUGACAAUGUCAACAUAGAAUAUUAUUCCUGCCAGAUUUUCAAAACCACCUAAAAUCCAUGUAGCAUUCAUUGGUGAGGGUUCUUUGUUGGCCUAUACGUCUACAUCAUGUACAUCAAAACGUGUACCUUUAAAAAUACCUGAAUAUAAUGGAUUUGCUAAGAAAAAAUUUUAAUUUAUGACAAACGAUGAGGAGAGGAUGCAAGUCAUUAGCCAAAAGUUGAUACAAACGUUAGAUAAUAUUAAAAGCUUUACAUAAUACAGUACAUAUUUCAAGUAUAAUCUUUUUUACUGUAGAUUCACCUUUAUUAUAAAACCAUUUACUUUUCUUGAUAGAAUCAGCAUGGGCUAAAUAACUGAAAGAAAGACAUUUGAUAUUUGAAAUACACAUUCAU